GUCACGGUCCGAGGGGUCGGUGGCCUCGAAUCGGGUCAGGUCCGGAAGGAAGCAGCCCUAAGAGCUCCUUCCGAUGUCUUCGGGACGCCGUGGCCGU
rnacentral:SRP_RNA from 1 species